AGCGAACGCUGGCGGCAGGCCUAACACAUGCAAGUCGAACGAACUCUUCGGAGUUAGUGGCGGACGGGUGAGUAACACGUGGGAACGUGCCUUUUGGUUCGGAAUAACUCAGGGAAACUUGUGCUAAUACCGAAUGUGCCCUUCGGGGGAAAGAUUUAUCGCCAUUAGAGCGGCCCGCGUCUGAUUAGCUAGUUGGUGAGGUAACGGCUCACCAAGGCGACGAUCAGUAGCUGGUCUGUGAGGAUGACCAGCCACACUGGGACUGAGACACGGCCCAGACUCCUACGGGAGGCAGCAGUGGGUAACCUUGCGCAGUGGGCUAAAGGCUGACGCUGCCAUGCCGCGUGAAUGAUGUAGGUCUUAGGAUUGUAAUAUUCUUUCACCGGGGACGAUAAUGACGGUACCCGGAGAAAAAGCCCCGGCUAACUUCGUG
rnacentral:rRNA from 1 species